rnacentral:rRNA from 1 species
UACGUAGGGUGCAAGCGUUGUCCGGAAUUACUGGGCGUAAAGAGCUCGUAGGUGGUUUGUCGCGUCGUCUGUGAAAUCCCGGGGCUUAACUUCGGGCGUGCAGGCGAUACGGGCAUAACUUGAGUGCUGUAGGGGAGACUGGAAUUCCUGGUGUAGCGGUGAAAUGCGCAGAUAUCAGGAGGAACACCGAUGGCGAAGGCAGGUCUCUGGGCAGUUACUGACGCUGAGGAGCGAAAGCAUGGGUAGCGAACAGG